UACGUAGGUGGCAAGCGUUGUCCGGAUUUACUGGGCGUAAAGAGCGCGCAGGCGGUCGUUCAAGUCGCGUGUGAAAGCCCCCGGCUCAACUGGGGAGGGUCACGCGAUACUGAUCGACUCGAAGGCAGGAGAGGGUAGUGGAAUUCCCAGUGUAGUGGUGAAAUGCGUAGAUAUCGGGAGGAACACCAGUGGCGAAGGCGACUACCUGGCCUGUUCUUGACGCUGAGGCGCGAAAGCUAGGGGAGCAAACGGG
rnacentral:rRNA from 1 species